GGAGAAGUUGCAAGAAUCACUUCAAUUGUUGUUCCUGCAACCACAGAUGAUGCCCGGUGUUUCAGUUUCUGGUAUUACAUGAGUGGAGAGAAUAUAGGUGCAUUGGUUGUUGCAUUGGAGGAUCGAUCACUCACAAGAUCAAGAAUAUGGUCACUGGAAGGUGAUUAUGGUGACAGGUGGUUGCAAGGGCAAAUCGGAGUUAAUUACACUUCAUCUGAUUACAGAAUUGUACUUGAAACUGUAUUGGGCAUAGGUGACAAUGGUGUGAUUGCAGUUGAUGACAUUGUCAUGAGUCUGGGAU